GGAGGAAAAAAAAGAAUCCUAAUAUACUUUAUUCUUUAUGAAAGCUCUAAGAGAUCUAAUUAUUUGUUUUAAUGAGAAGACUGAAGGAAGCUGCACUCUUAUUUGGAAGUACAAAGGUAAGCAAAUAAGUAUGUAUUCAUACCUUCACUGUGAAUUCUUGAAGAUAAUGUGUUAUUUUUUUCUGCAAUUGUUUAUAGAGAAGGUAGGGAUUGGAAGAUUGUGUAGCUAGUAUAAAACGUACAGCAAUAUCAGUUGCCUUUGGAGUUUUUGCUUAGAGAUGGAUUUGCCAAAGAGAAUUGUUUUUCAGUUAGAACUAUGUCAAAUCUGAACAUUAUUUACGUUAAUCUAUGUGGAUCUCCAGAUUGUAUAUCUGGAGUGAGAAAAAUCUUUGUUACCUUUUUAUGAUGAAGGAAGAAUAAUACUAUGAUUAUAUGUAAACAGUAAAACUGAAACCAAGUUUAUUUUGUUCUUUGUAGCAAUUCCCUUGAUACGCCUCAUGUAGGGAAAAGUACUUAGGCUACUUUUAUAACAAAUCAUUCAGGUCAUUUCUGAGUGAACUAAAUAGUUUAAAAACAUUAUAGGUGUCAAGAAUUGUAUUUCUUAACUCAAAAUUAUCUUUCUUUGAGUUUCUCAUGUAUGUUUUUUUCAGAUGUGCUACUUGAACGCUUCAGUUUAUGCGAAACUAUUUCACUUGACUGUACUGAGUUUUCAUGAGUUUGUACAGCAUCAGCUGAAAUGGAGCCCUUGGAACAGGGCUAAACAAUACAGUUGCGCUAAUAAUGAAGAAUCUGUGAUCAGCCAUUGACAUUGUUGAAUGGGAGGUUGUUAUGCACUUCAUGCCCAUUAAGAAGACAGUAAACUGUUGAUUAUGAGCAUUCCGUAGUACACAUUUUUCUUACUAUACAGUGUCAAAGGCCAUAUGCGUGGUUUUUCUGCUCAAUCUGCGAAGGCAUUCACAAUUGUUUCACUCAGAUGUAAGGACCCAUCUCAGUUCUGCCUCUGUGCCAGCCUGUAAAACAUGGAUCAGUGCUAAGUAUUCUGCUGUCUUGUGCACAAAAUAUUGCUCAAGCGCAUGUUCUUUAAUAGUUGCAUCACCUUCAUUGCUGGUGUUACUGAGAGGUGUAGGAUACACAAGGCUUCCGUCAGUGCAGGCGGUUUGCCAUCAUUUUCUGAAGUUGGCUGUGCUGUCCUUCAGUGUUCUGAUGGACAUAUCUCUUACGUCAGUCACAGAUUUCUCUGCAUUCAAUGAUCGUGUCUCGAGUAGAACAAAUCUCUAAUAGGGUAAUGUUAAGUUUGGGGGAUACUUCUCGUCCUCAAUGCAAAACAUCUUGGUACAAAAAUUGGUCAAGUGGCCAUACAUUAGAAAGAUCUAUACAGUCUGGAAUAGAGAAUGUUUCUGGGCUUUGAAUGGAAAAUUGUUUAUUUAGAGGGGAAAAUAAGUACUUCAUCCUAUAAUCUGCAUCCUAAAAAUGCAGGAAUCAAAAUACUGCAUCCUAAAAUGUAGGAAACUUCAACACAAAUUUCACUCUUAGUUUUAAAGAAGGAUCAAGUCUGUAUGGAAAAAGCUUGCUUCAAAAAGCAAAUUACUGAGAUGUGACAUGGGGGAAAAAAAGAAAAGCAUUUAGGGGCUUUUGAAUUAGUAUUUCCAGUGCCGUAAUGUCAUUUAGUGACUUGGAAUGGUGUGGUAUUUGUAGUUAACUUCCUUAGCCUCAGUGAGAGUGAAAUUCUUGGAAAGAAGGAUGGAUUUGUGAUUUAAAUGUGAAAUUGGAAAACAGGAGAUUUAUUUCUGGUUAGAUGACAGAUAAUUUGAUUUGGGGGAAAUAUCACUUUCUGUUCCUUAAUGUCUGCUUAUGAAAACUGGAGAUUCACAAAGAAUAUUGCUUGAUUCAUCUGAAUAGAGGAUUUUAUUAAUUGUAAUGUAUUUUAAGACCCAGAAUAGGAAAGUAAUAUUAAAACAAGUUAACUAAUGACAAUAAAAGUUUCUUGGGAGUAGAUUGGCCUAAGGCAGCAUCUGUUACUAUUGUGAUUGUUUAAUUUACAGCUACCUGUAACAAAUAAAGGUAAAAUUUGACACUUAUUCUGUGAGAGUUGUGAUACUUACUGUAUUCCGG
ensembl:lncRNA